GGGCCCGUAGCUCAGCAAGGCAGAGCGGCGGACCGACUUUCACCGACCUUCCGUAAGCCGGGUCGAGGCUCUUAACAUCCCUAGACUGAGGGAGACCCGUAGGUCGGGGGUUCAAUUCCCCCCGGGCCCG
rnacentral:tRNA from 1 species